rnacentral:misc_RNA from 1 species
CAUUAUCAACCCUCAAGCUCGGCUUGUUGUUGGACCCAAGGGAAGGUGACCCUUCCCUGGUCUUGAAGACAAUGACGGCGUCUGGAGGACCCUCAACACAAUGAGCUUUUUAAGCACGUGUCGUAGUGGAUCUUUAGGCCCGGUCUCUCUUUAUUUUUCAGGUUGACCUCGGAUCAGGUAGGGAUACCCGCUGAACUUAA